ensembl:lincRNA
CUAAAAUUAAAGGCAUAGCAGCGCAGGCAUGCAGACUUUAAGAGUGCUCGCUCACAACUUGGUGUUUAAGAACUACACAGGCGCCAACCUGAAAUGACACGUGCGCAGUGUCCGAGGUCUUACUCGUUUUCGUACCUGCGGGCAGGCUGAGCCCGCUUCUGCGCUGGAGUUGAUACUACGCAAGCGCCGGGGGUGCAUGACGUCAUCCGAGCGCGCCUCCCACAGUACACAAGCCCUGGGCUCAGACACAGACGUUGCUGUGGAGACGGGGCGUUGAGAUUGGAGGAGAGCCGGUCAGUUGAUGUUGCUGUCUUACAGACACUGAAACCCCAGGUGGAAGAAGUUAACUACAUCAUGACCAGACUGUACCCAUGAUAUAAGCCGCUGGAAUUCCGAGAACUGGAUGCAAGAAAUGGAAACAAACUGACCCUGGAACUGAAUAUUAACUGUACUUAAAACUGUCAAGAUGACGCUGGUCAGACCACUGAUGACCAGUUUCAAGGAGCAGGUGAUGAACUCACUCCGAUUGACAUAUUGAGAGCUGCUCUUCCCAGAUCCAGCUGGCAGCUUCGUAAUUAUGGAAACAUCUAUGUUGUUCCCACUUACCCAGGGCUAGGCCUGCUGGUAUCUGAUUCAGUGUUUACUUCAUGAAUGAGGAUGGUUCCACUUGUGUGGCGUGAGAAUGACUCAGAAUGCCUUGGAAGCCACCUCCAGAGAGCAAUGAGACCGGUAGCUGCUAACACACAUGCCGGAAAGCAACGUGGAGGAGCCACAGUCCCAGAUGUAAAGACAGCCCCAGGACUGGCGGAGCGGCGGGUGCGGCAGCCACAGGCAGGCGGAUGGCCGUUACACAAGCUUUCCAGAAAGAUCGCGCGAGCUGAUGCCCCAGCCACAGGAGAGGGACGGAGCCUGCAGCCAGCAGCCAGGCUGGAAAGUCUGUGUAAAGGACACCUGGAGGAAACAGGGCCUCCACCCCUCUCCACCCCCCCUGGAACCCUGCCUUUCUCACCCACUCCCCACCCAAGCGGUUCACAGCCCCGGAGGCUCACCACGUCUUCAUCAUUUGAAAGCUCACUGGUUUCUCCCGACACAUCAGAACUUUUUUUUCUUUCCUCCUUUUUGAAAAGCCUUUUUGUGAGGUUGGGAGUGACCCAAAAGUAACCUCUCUAUUCCUGUCUGAAGGGAAAAUAUUUCCAGAUCAGAGGAGCAGUCUGCAGUGCUAAGCCUGGGCAUAUAUGAAUACUCGAUUAUGCCUCUUAAGUCCCGAGUCAGUCACAGUUUCAGAAAUGAACCAUAAGCAGAGCAAAGGCGUUGUGAAUCAAGAGGUUUAUUAUUUUCCCCUAUGAAGUAUUUUGAAACUGAAGUUUCCACAUUUUUAAGGGUUUGAUGUCAUAAAUUCCCAUGUAGGACUGCAUUUUGAAAAACAGGGUCAUUGUAUGUGUGUGUGUCCGAAUGUGAGAGGUUUAGUACCUAACUUAGAACCAGGAAUUUGAGAUGCACAGGCAGGCCAGGCCACUGGGCCUUUGCUGUCAUGAGUUCAUGUGAUGGUAAGACUGUUCCGGAACCGUCUGGAAGUUAAAUGUUAGUCUUCUGAAAAGAAGUAGGACCUCCCAGCCCAGCUGUUGUUAUGGCAAGUGCAAUGUAAGCAGGUUUCUAUUUAAAACGCUCACACCUGGUACUUGACUAUUUCUUGUUUUCCAAAGGGUACCCUCUCUCCCCCGAAUUUUCUUUUCCACCUUCCCUUUUCCGUGCUAGUCUGGCUUAACCCAACCUGCUGGGUUUGACCCAACCCGAAGGCAUGAAGAGGAGGACAUUUUUAAAAGGAGCUGAAGAGCUGUGGUCUUGUGCUGCCAGAACUGGGCUCGGAUGGAGACAAGACAGCCCUGGAGACAGUGAUGAGG